rnacentral:rRNA from 1 species
UCCGUAGGCGGACUAAUAAGUCAGGGGUGAAAUCCAACAGCUUAACUGUUGAACUGCCUUUGAUACUGUUAGUCUUGAAUUAUAUGGAAGUAGAUAGAAUGUGUAGUGUAGCGGUGAAAUGCUUAGAGAUUACACAGAAUACCGAUUGCGAAGGCAGUCUACUACGUAUAUAUUGACGCAAAUGGACGAAAGCGUGGGGAGCGAACAGGAUUAGAUACCCUGGUAGUCC